rnacentral:pre_miRNA from 1 species
UCCAUUACGGGCCUGAUCCAAAGUCCAUUAAAGUCAAUGGGAGUCUUUCCAUUGAUUUUAAUGGACUUUGGAUCAAGCCCUAUAAGA